AGAAUCAACGCUGGCGGCGUGCCUAACACAUGCAAGUCGCACGAGAAAGUGGAGCAAUCCACGAGUACAGUGGCGCACGGGUGAGUAACACGUGAAUGAUCUACCUCCGAGUGGGAAUAACUGAGAGAAAUCUUAGCUAAUACCGCAUAAUACCCACGGGUCAAAGCAGCAAUGCGCUUGGAGAGGAGUUCGCGGCCGAUUAGCUAGUUGGCGGGGUAAUGGCCCACCAAGGCGAUGAUCGGUA
rnacentral:rRNA from 1 species